rnacentral:rRNA from 1 species
UGGGGAAUCUUGCACAAUGGGGGAAACCCUGAUGCAGCGACGCCGCGUGAACGAUGAAGCCCUUCGGGGUGUAAAGUUCUUUCGACAGGAACGAUAAUGACGGUACCUGGAGAAGAAGCUGCGGCUAACUACGUGCCAGCAGCCGCGGUAAUACGUAGGCAGCAAGCGUUGUUCGGAGUUACUGGGCGUAAAGAGUGCGUAGGCGGUUUUCUAAGUUCGGUGUGAAAUCUCCCGGCUUAACUGGGAGGGUGCGCCGAAGACUGGGAAGCUGGAGUGUGGGAAAGGCAGGCGGAAUUCCUGGUGUAGCGGUGAAAUGCGUAGAUAUCAGGAGGAACACCGGCGGUGUAGACGGCUUGCUAGACCAUAACUGACGCUGAGGCACGAAAGCGUGGGUAGCAAACA